rnacentral:rRNA from 1 species
GACGAACGCUGGCGGCGUGCUUAACACAUGCAAGUCGAACGGAGUGGCGAACGGGUGAGUAACACGUGUGUGACAUGCCCUGCACUUCGGGAUAAGCCUGGGAAACUGGGUCUAAUACCGGAAAGUGUGGGAUGGGCCCGGGGCCUAUUGGCUUGUUGGUGGGGUAAUGGACUACCCAGGCGGGGACGGGUAGUCGGCCUGAGAGGGUGGACGGCCACAUUGGGCCUGAGACACGUCCCAGUCUGCUACUGGGGUCAGUAGUGGCGAAUAUUGCACAAUGGGCGGAAGCCUGACUCAGCGACGCCGCGUGGGGGAUGACGGCCUUCGGGUUGUAAACUCCUUUCACCAUCGACGCGGUAGAUGGAGAAGAAGCACCGGCUAACUACGUGCCAGCAGCCGCUGUAAUAC